UACGAAGGGGGCUAGCGUUGUUCGGAUUUACUGGGCGUAAAGCGCACGUAGGCGGAUCAUUAAGUCAGGGGUGAAAUCCUGGAGCUCAACUCCAGAACUGCCUUUGAUACUGGUGAUCUUGAGUCCGGAAGAGGUGAGUGGAACUCCUAGUGUAGAGGUGGAAUUCGUAGAUAUUAGGAAGAACACCAGUGGCGAAGGCGGCUCACUGGUCCGGUACUGACGCUGAGGUGCGAAAGCGUGGGGAGCAAACAGGAUUAGAUACCCCGGUAGUCC
rnacentral:rRNA from 1 species